GGUGCCCCCCCCAACCCCUGGCCUGUGUCCCCUUUUGGAACACAAGAGGACCAAAGUUAACGCUAGUUAUUAUGCAAAGUUAUGAAGUAUAAUGACAUGUUACAAGAAAAAACUGAACUUUAUGGUACUUGACUUGCAUCCAUCCUACAUAAUGAUCUCAUGUCUGAUGUCUUAUUGGAGGUGGUGUUCCUUCCUACAGCGUCUAUGAUCUCUGUAGGUGGUGUUCCUUCCUACAGCGUCUAUGAUCUCUGUAGGUGGUGUUCCAUCCUACAGCUUCUCUGAUCUAUGUAGGUGGUGUUCCAUCCUACAGCUUCUCUGAUCUAUGUAGGUGGUGCUCCAUCCUCCAGCUUCUCUGAUCUAUGUAGGUGGUGUUCCUUCCUACAUAAUGAUCUCAUGUCUAAUCUCUUAUUGGAGGUGUUCAUGCUAUAUUACACAGCUUCUCUGAUCUAUGUAGGUGGUGUUCCAUCCUACAGCUUCUCUGAUCUAUGGAGGUGGUGUUCCAUCCUACAGCUUCUAUGAUCUAUGUAGGUGGUGUUCCAUCCUACAGCUUCUCUGAUCUAUGUAGGUGGUGUUCCUUCCUACAGCUUCUCAUGACAGGACCAGCAGUCCUGUCAGACAGGACCAGCACCAUGAUCAUCUAGUCAGACAGGACCAGCACCAUGAUCAUCUCGUCAGACAGGACCAGCACCAUGAUCAUCUAGUCAGACAGGAACAGCACCAUGAUCAUCUCGUCAGACAGGACCAGCACCAUGAUCAUCUAGUCAGACAAGACCAGCACCAUGAUCAUCUAGUCAGAGAGGACCAGCACCAUGAUCAUCUAGUCAGACAGGAACAGCACCAUGAUCAUCUAGUCAGACAAGACAAGUACCAUGAUCAUCUAGUCAGAGAGGACCAGCACCAUGAUCAUCUAGUCAGACAAGACCAGCACCAUGAUCAUCUAGUCAGACAGGAACAGCACCAUGAUCAUCUACUCAGACAGGACCAGCACCAUGAUCAUCUAAUCAGAGAGGACUAGCACCAUGAUCAUCUAGUCAGACAGGAACAGCACCAUGAUCAUCUAGUCAGACAAGACUAGCACCAUGAUCAUCUAGUCAGACAGGAACAGCACUAUGAUCAUCUAGUCAGACAGGACCAGCACCAUGACCAUCUAGUCAGACAGGAACAGCACCAUGAUCAUCUAGUCAGACAGGGACAGCACCAUGAUCAUCUAGUCAGAGAGGACCAGCACCAUGAUCAUCCAGUCAGACAAGACCAGCACCAUGAUCAUCUAGUCAGAGGACCAGCACCAUGAUCAUCUAGUCAGACAGGAACAGCACCAUGAUCAUCUAGUCAGACAAGACAAGUACCAUGAUCAUCUAGUCAGAGAGGACCAGCACCAUGAUCAUCUAGUCAGACAAGACCAGCACCAUGAUCAUCUAGUCAGACAGGAACAGCACCAUGAUCAUCUACUCAGACAGGACCAGCACCAUGAUCAUCGAGUCAGACAGGACCAGCACCAUGACCAUCUAGUCAGACAGGACCAGCACCAUGAUCAUCUAGUCAGACAGGACCAGCACCAUGAUCAUCUAGUCAGACAGGACUAGCACCAUGAUCAUCUAGUCAGAAAGGGACAGCACCAUGAUCAUCUAGUCAGACAAGACAAGUACCAUGAUCAUCUAGUCAGAGAGGACCAGCACCAUGAUCAUCUAGUCAGACAGGACCAGCACCAUGAUCAUCUAGUCAGACAGGACCAGCACCAUGAUCAUCUAGUCAGACAGGACCAGCACCAUGAUCAUCUAGUCAGAAAGGGACAGCACCAUGAUCUUUGUUGUGUUUUUACACGAUGUUGUAUAUAUUAUAGAACAUUCACACUAAGGCUGCUUCUGUUUUGCAUUUAAGGAAUCAUCAUAAUUCAUAUCAAGUAUCAAAUUUCAGGGCCAUGUUCAGUUGCCAAACAUUUUCGAAAUGUCACAACCUGGCUAUUAGAUGGUGACAAUCAAGGAAGUACACACGUUGGCAGUUAAAGAGUAACAAAAAUAUUUAUUAAAUAACUAACCAAAGGAAAACUAACCUGUGAAGUGUGACAGUAGGCAUGUGAAGGGUGUAAUGGAGAUGUAUGGAUGAAGUUCAAAUGUGUGUAAGUGUUGAAGGGUAUAAUGGAGAUGUAUGGAUGAAGUUCAAAUGUGUGUAAGUGUUGAAGGGUGUAAUGGAGAUGUAUGGAUGAAGUUAAAAUGUGUGUAAGUGUUGAAGGGUGUAAUGGAGAUGUAUGGAUGAAGUUAAAAUGUGUGUAAGUGUUGAAGGGUGUAAUGGAGAUGUAUGGAUGAAGUUAAAAUGUGUGUAAGUGUUGAAGGGUGUAAUGGAGAUGUAUGGAUGAAAUUAAAAUGUGUGUAAGUGUUGAAGGGUGUAAUAGAUGUAUGGAUGAAGUUGAAAUGUGUGUAAGUGUUGAAGGGUGUAAUGGAGAUGUAUGGAUGAAGUUAAAAUGUGUGUAAGUGUUGAAGGGUGUAAUGGAGAUGUAUGGAUGAAAUUAAAAUGUGUGUAAGUGUUGAA